UUCAACAAUGUUCCCAACAAUCCUACAGU
rnacentral:sRNA from 1 species